rnacentral:rRNA from 1 species
UACGUAGGGUGCGAGCGUUUGUCCGGAAUUAUUGGGCGUAAAGAGCUCGUAGGCGGUUUGUCGCGUCUGCUGUGAAAUCUGGGGGCUCAACCCCCAGCCUGCAGUGGGUACGGGCAGACUAGAGGUAGGUAGGGGAGAAUGGAAUUCCCGGUGUAGCGGUGGAAUGCGCAGAUAUCAGGAGGAACACCAAUGGCGAAGGCAGAUCUCUGGGCCGUAACUGACGCUGAGGAGCGAAAGCAUGGGGGAGCGAACAGG